GUGCGCUGGAUUAUGACUGAACGC
rnacentral:ncRNA from 2 species